UACGUAGGUGGCAAGCGUUUGUUCGGAAUUAUUGGGCGUAAAGGGCGCGUAGGCGGGUCUUUUAAGUCAGGGGUGAAAUCCUGGAGCUCAACUCCAGAACUGCCUUUGAUACUGAAGAUCUUGAGUUCGGGGAGAGGUGAGUGGAACUGCGAGUGUAGAGGUGAAAUUCGUAGAUAUUCGCAAGAACACCAGUGGCGAAGGCGGCUCACUGGCCCGAUACUGACGCCUGAGGCACGAAAGCGUGGGGAGCAAACAGG
rnacentral:rRNA from 1 species